rnacentral:rRNA from 1 species
UACGGGGGGGGGCAAGCGUUGUUCGGAAUUACUGGGCGUAAAGGGCUCGUAGGUGGCCAACUAAGUCGGACGUGAAAUCCCUCGGCUUAACCGGGGAACUGCAUCCGAUACUGGAUGGCUUGAGUUCGGGAGAGGGAUGCGGAAUUCCAGGUGUAGCGGUGAAAUGCGUAGAUAUCUGGAGGAACACCGGUGGCGAAGGCGGCAUCCUGGACCGACACUGACGCUGAGGAGCGAAAGCCAGGGGAGCAAACGGGG